rnacentral:lncRNA from 1 species
UUUAUCUCCCUUUCACUCUCACGUGUGUAGCACUCAACGUUUCAAAAAUCUGGUCGAACAACGAUCCGAAAAUAUUAUUGAGUCAAUUCAAAAUCAUACGCACUCAACGUUUCAAAAAUCUGAUCGAACAACGAUCCGAAAAGAUUACAAAAAUCUGGUCGAACAACGAUCCAAAAAGAUUAUUGAGUCAAUUUAAAAUCACUGACAUCUACGUACGCUAGUAUGACAUCACAAACAUUUAAUUAUUAUUUUUAAUUUUAUUAUGUAUAGAGAGAGAGAGAGAGUAGGUCAUGUAUGUUAUUAGAAGCACGGAGGCCUCCGAUGAUGGAGCUUUCGAAUUGACGAUCCGUUCCAUUAAACUUGAUCUAACGUAUUAUCUAGAAAAUAAAUUUUGCGAUUUUUCGAUACUAUUUAACUAGCAAUCGAAAUGGCUCAAAAUUAACGAUUGAAAAUAAAAAUCUCAUAAAAAAUGGUGAUAUAGUACUAAAAUUUUCAAUCAGAGAUAGUAACCUUACAGUAGAUAGUAUAAAAAAUUUUCUAUCAAAAUUUCAUCUAAUUUGAAUAUUUCUGUACUGUUAAACUUGCAAACGAUAUAUAUCAACCAUUAAAAAUUAUUGAUUUUGAAACCUUUCGAUCGCUAGGUAAAUGAUACCAAAAAAUCGCAAAAUUUAUUUUCUAGAUAGUUCAAAUACGCUAGAUUACUUCUAACGUAGUUGGUCGUCAAUUCGAAAACUCCAUAAUUGAAAACGGUUUAAGUGCAGGAGGCCUCUAUACUCCUAAUAGCACACAAGACCUACUAUAUAUAUAUAUAUCAUCCUAGUAUCAUACUUAAUUAUAAAAUACUGAUUUUAAAAGCAAAUUAAGUACAUCUAUAUUUUUAGGUUUCACUUUUUAAUUACGAUUGAAAAUAAAACCAAUUAAAUUGAUUUUAAAACAUUAAAAUUUUUAUUAUUAAAUGAAAAAAAAAAUCUAACUAAUUAACUAAUAAUAUAAACAACUUAAUUAAACAGAGCAUCUAUAAUUUCUUCAUAACGUAUUUUUCCCGCAAUCAAAACGCACAGCAAAUCAAGCCUUCGGCAAGUAGAAAACCAAACUUUUUUACACACGUAAGCUCAAACUAUACGUCUAAAACGUAAUAGCGAUACGCAUAACAUGAUAUUAUUAUUAUUAUGUAUAAAAUAAUAAAAUAUAUUUUUUUUACGGUGCCUAUUUUUUUUUUUAUCUCAU